CUCACAAUGACCCACUCACCUUGUUAAGGCUCCUGCCUUUCUCACUGCUUUUUGUCCUUCUGUGUUUACAUCAAGCUCCAACCUACUUGUUCAUUAUGUGGUCUGUAAACACUCUCUGCUAGUUGGUAGCUUAUUUGUGCAGGUGGAAGGCUGAGCGUGAACACAAACAUCUCCGGGAUACAUUUCAGACUACUUUACACUGGCUGAAAUCCUUCUCUUUAACACCAAUUAAGAGUUGGACAAUGAACAUUUAAAUGGAUGUUUAUCUGCAUGAUUUUGAAACUCCUCAGACCACAUCACUGCAUCAAAGUGAUACUCAUGGAAGCCACACCCAGUGAUCACGCCAGGGCUUCCGAAGCGAGACCUCAGGUCUAAUAGGAAAAGUCAGUGCCCUUGUAUUCUGCACUGCCUUAUUACAGAGCUAACCUUUCUCCUCUCCAUAUCCCGUUUCUCUCGCUUAGGACAGACAUCACACUUUUGUACAUUUGUUACAUCCUGAAAUAUA